AACCUAGCACACCUGCGGUGUGUACCUGCGGAAGGAUCAUUACCGAGUUUACAAACUCCCAACCCUUUGUGAACCUUACCAUAUUGUUGCUUCGGCGGGACCGCCCCGGCGCCUUCGGGCCCGGAACCAGGCGCCCGCCGGAGGCCCCAAACUCUCAUGUCUUUAGUGGUUUUCUCCUCUGAGUGACACAUAAACAAAUAAAUAAAAACUUUCAACAACGGAUCUCAGAUCGGAAGAGCA
rnacentral:misc_RNA from 1 species